ensembl:lncRNA
UGGGGUUGGAAUCUUUCCACUCACAGAGUUCGACGGAUUUCAGCACACCCGGCUCCCACAGUCUGCGGCCCCACCGGAGGCGUGAGCUCUGGAAGGGCCGAGAAGCUGAGGCCUUAGGGAUGGGAGGCGGCAGGCGGCAGCCCGGGUAUCAGGGUACAAGCCAGGCAGGUGCUUCCUGCCGCCAAGUACGACCCCAGCCAGUUAGUUCACUUGCCGUGUGUGAACUUGGCUAAGUCGAGUCUCCUUUCCUGCUCCUGUUUCCCCAAUCCCCGGGGCUUCCGCUUUGGAAACGACGGGUGAGGCUUGGCUCUUUCACAGGCAACUUCCAAAAAAGUCUGCGAAAGCUAAAGAAAACUCAGAACCUGAUGCUCUGCUGAUACACUAGUGAGCAGAGCCUUAGGAAGAACACUGCUCAGUCAGACGGAAAAGUCGUUAUUACUCAGAGCCCCUUCCUGCUUUCACUUUCCUUACCUGGAAAAGGGCCAUUGGUGAUAAUUGUUCCACGCUGCGGGCUGGCUGUGAGGAUCAAGCGAGCUCUUUGUGUGAGGGCUUUGCAUCAGUGGGAGUGUGUGACUCUUCCUAUCAGAGAGUGGCUAGCUUCAGGCCGGGCCCAGCCUGGGGCCAACCUGGCACACACCCUCUGUGGCCGUGGGAGAGGUACUCCAGGACAUUACUGAAUAGCCGGCAUACAAACCUUUUCUAUGCUAGGCCCUGUGCUCACUUUGGAGGCACAGAGGUGGGUCCAUCUUUAUUCCUUAGGGGUUCCAGGCUGGUGGGGAGAAAGUCACGUAACCACUCUCUUGGACUUGCCUCUCCUAUUCCUUUACCAUCUGAGCCCCUACAUGGUAGAACACAGUGAGACCUAUAAACAUGGGUUGACAAGAACUGAAUUGGCUCAGUGGGGAAUCCCGUUGGAUCUCUGUUUUGCCAUCUGCAUAAAGGUGUGGAACUGAUUUGAAGAAGGGGAGAUUGGGGGCUUUUCCAGUUCCAACAAUUUUGAAAGCAAUGACUCUCUAGGUCAGGGAGCAGGGGAUGGGAAGGGAGACAGAAGCACAGCUGUUUAGACAUCUGAUGCGAGGAGAGGAGGUCCUGCUCCUGCUGGCCAGUUCCUUUGGAGCCCCAGCCCCCUUGCCCUCUCCUGGUUGCCCAAGAGGGCGUAGAACCCUUUGUAAAGCCUUGCCUAAAACAGAGAAGCUGUUGUUUAGUCCUUCCCCAAGCCCCGCUUGGUUAUCUCUGGCUGGCCCAUGGCCUGACCUGG